AUUGAACGCUGGCGGCAUGCUUUACACAUGCAAGUCGAACGGCAGCGCGGGCUUCGGCCUGGCGGCGAGUGGCGAACGGGUGAGUAAUACAUCGGAACGUGCCCAGUAGUGGGGGAUAGCUCGGCGAAAGCCGGAUUAAUACCGCAUACGACCUGAGGGUGAAAGCGGGGGAUCUUCGGACCUCGCGCUAUUGGAGCGGCCGAUGGCAGAUUAGCUAGUUGGUGGGGUAAAGGCCUACCAAGGCGACGAUCUGUAGCUGGUCUGAGAGGACGACCAGCCACACUGGGACUGAGACACGGCCCAGACUCCUACGGGAGGCAGCAGUGGGGAAUUUUGGACAAUGGGCGAAAGCCUGAUCCAGCAAUGCCGCGUGUGUGAUGAAGGCCUUCGGGUUGUAAAGCACUUUUGGCGGGAACGAAAAGGACUGUGCCAAUACCACGGUUCAAUGACGGUACCCGCAGAAUAAGCACCGGCUAACUACGUG
rnacentral:rRNA from 1 species